UACGUAGGGUGCAAGCGUUAAUCGGAAUUACUGGGCGUAAAGCGUGCGCAGGCGGUUUUGGAAGUCUGACGUGAAAUCCCCGGGCUCAACCUGGGAAUUGCGUUGGAGACUGCAAGGCUGGAGUCUGGCAGAGGGGGGUAGAAUUCCACGUGUAGCAGUGAAAUGCGUAGAGAUGUGGAGGAACACCGAUGGCGAAGGCAGCCCCCUGGGUCAAGACUGACGCUCAUGCACGAAAGCGUGGGGAGCAAACAGG
rnacentral:rRNA from 1 species